rnacentral:rRNA from 1 species
CCUACGGGAGGCAGCAGUGGGGAAUAUUGGACAAUGGGGGGAACCCUGAUCCAGCCAUGCCGCGUGUGUGAAGAAGGCCCUCGGGUUGUAAAGCACUUUCAGUGAGGAAGAACGCCUGGUGGUUAAUACCCAUCAGGAAAGACAUCACUCACAGAAGAAGCACCGGCUAACUCCGUGCCAGCAGCCGCGGUAAUACGGAGGGUGCGAGCGUUAAUCGGAAUUACUGGGCGUAAAGCGCGCGUAGGUGGCUUGAUAAGCCGGUUGUGAAAGCCCCGGGCUCAACCUGGGAACGGCAUCCGGAACUGUCAAGCUAGAGUGCAGGAGAGGAAGGUAGAAUUCCCGGUGUAGCGGUGAAAUGCGUAGAGAUCGGGAGGAAUACCAGUGGCGAAGGCGGCCUUCUGGACUGACACUGACACUGAGGUGCGAAAGCGUGGGUAGCAAACAGGAUUAGAUAUCCGAGUAGUC